AAGAAAGAGAGGCACAGCGCUUUUGUGGCUGACCGUCUAUUACUGGCUCCGGUUUGACGCCAAAGAAUCGGCCUGAAGGAGGCUGAAGGAGGCUGAAGUUAAGAGCAGGAGAAAGUGGGGAGAGUCCGUGCUAUGGACUUCCAGAGGGAACAAAUGGCAAAGUGAAGAUGGUUUUAUGAAAAGUGGAGUCAACAACUACAGCAAAGAACAAAGAAAAAAGAACAAGUUUUAACUGACAAGACAGACAGAGUUGAAACUGAAAGCAAACCUACAAAUGAAGACUACAAGAAUGAAAAAGAUUUCUCAUUGAACAUGAGAACAUAAUUGAACAAAAGAAAUCAGUUGAUGCUUUAAAAAUUCAAAGAGAAUUACAAAUAAAAAACUGAGAGUGACUUGGAUAAUUCUUACAUAUUGGAUUUACAAAAGAGGUUUGUUAAAGUUUGUAUGAAGGGGCAAAAAAAAAAUAUAUGGAAAUUCUGUGGCAUUACUUGAAUGGACCAAACAGUGUUAGAAGUAAAAGAAGGCAUAUAAAAUUGGUUUAUUUGAUCAAGGUUAAAAAUGAUAUGUUGUUAUGUCUGGCUGUCAAUGGAAUUUUGCUGACACCAAGACUGAAAGAUGAUGCUUUAAGGAUUUGCUUAUGAAUAAGCGAUGGGAUAUCUGAUGAAGAGAUCAUUAGUGUAAAUUAAGAGAUGAAAUACUUGUGAUGAAGAUUGGUAGUUCUUUCUCUCUCUCUCUCUCUCUUUCUUUUUUUCUUUCCAUUUUUUC